UCUUCCGUAGUAUAGUGGUUAGUAUAUGAGCUUGUCAAACGCCAUCCGGCCGCAGCAAAUCCGCUCGGGACCCGGGUUCAAUUCCCGGCGGGAGAG